GAUGAAGAACGCAGUGAAAUGCGAUAACUAGUGUGAAUUGCAGAAUACCGUGAAUCAUCGAGUCUUUGAACGCACAUUGCGCCCCCUGGUAUUCCGGGGGGCAUGCCUGUCCGAGCGUCAUUGCUGCCCAUCAAGCACGGCUUGUGUGUUGGGUCGUCGUCCCCUCUCCGGGGGGGACGGGCCCCAAAGGCAGCGGCGGCACCGCGUCCGAUCCUCGAGCGUAUGGGGCUUUGUCACCCGCUCUGUAGGCCCGGCCGGCGCUUGCCGAACGCAAAUCAAUCUUUUUCCAGGUUGACCUCGGAUCAGGUAGGGAUACCCGCUGAACUUAAGCAUAUCAAUAAGCGGAGGA
rnacentral:misc_RNA from 1 species